rnacentral:rRNA from 1 species
AGGAAUAUUGGUCAAUGGACGCAAGUCUGAACCAGCCAUGCCGCGUGAAGGAUGAAGGUUCUCUGGAUUGUAAACUUCUUUUAUCUGGGACGAAAACGGGAUUUUUAUCUCAAUUGACGGUACCAGAGGAAUAAGCACCGGCUAACUCCGUGCCAGCAGCCGCGGUAAUACGGAGGGUGCGAGCGUUAUCCGGAUUUACUGGGUUUAAAGGGUGCGUAGGUGGGCUUAUAAGUCAGUGGUGAAAUCUCCGAGCUUAACUUGGAAACUGCCGUUGAUACUAUAGGUCUUGAAUUAUCUGGAGGUAAGCGGAAUAUGUCAUGUAGCGGUGAAAUGCUUAGAUAUGACAUAGAACACCAAUUGCGAAGGCAGCUUACUACAUAUAAAUUGACGCUGAGGCACGAAAGCGUGG